UACGUAGGUGGCAAGCGUUGUCCGGAAUUAUUGGGCGUAAAGGGAGCGCAGGUGGCCGAGUUCGUCGGUGGUGCAAGCUCCAGGCUUAACCUGGAGAGGUCUGCCGAUACUGCUCGGCUUGAGGACGGUAGAGGAGCACGGAAUUCCUGGUGUAGUGGUGAAAUGCGUAGAUAUCAGGAGGAACACCGGUGGCGAAAGCGGUGCUCUGGGCCGUUCCUGACACUCAGGCUCGAAAGCGUGGGGAGCGAACCGG
rnacentral:misc_RNA from 1 species